rnacentral:rRNA from 1 species
UACGUAGGGUGCGAGCGUUGUCCGGAAUUAUUGGGCGUAAAGAGCUUGUAGGUGGUUUGUCGCGUCUGCUGUGAAAAUCCGGGGCUCAACCCCGGACUUGCAGUGGGUACGGGCAGACUAGAGUGUGGUAGGGGAGACUGGAAUUCCUGGUGUAGCGGUGAAAUGCGCAGAUAUCAGGAGGAACACCGAUGGCGAAGGCAGGUCUCUGGGCCACUACUGACGCUGAGGAGCGAAAGCAUGGGGAGCGAACAGG